rnacentral:lncRNA from 1 species
CAAGUUCAGCUAGUUAUGGCAGUGAUUUGAACAAAAAAAAAAAAUAAAUCCUCCCCCUCUUAAAACCUCAUAAUCUGUGCUCACAUCUUUUUUCCAACCAUUGGCUUGAGGUGAAAGGGUGCCUAUUUCCUUCUUCUUUAACAUUUUUGUGAUCAGGAAAUUAGCUGCACAGAGAAAGCUGAUUCUUCGAGGAUGGCACCUCACCUAUUUCUUCUCCUUUUAGCAGGACUUAUUGGAACAACUUUUGCUGAAAAUGACACAACAGUUAACACACCAUCAGCUUACACAGCUGCAUCCAUACUCUACACGUCAAACAGCACAGAUUCACCUGUCACUACAGCUUCAGAACCAGGUUUCAUAACUUCACUGGUAAACACAGUGUCAGAAUCUACUGAAAGAACCAUAUUACCAGCCAGCACAGUUCCAGAACCAGCCAUCAUAACUACGUUACCAUCCAUCAUAGUGCCAGAACCACCUGAUCCAUCUACAUUACCAGACAACACAGUGUCAGAACCAACUGAAGCAAUGACAUUAUCAGCCAUCUCGGAAUCAGAACCAAACAGAGAUACCACACUAUCAGCCAUCAUAGUACAAGAACAAACUGAUCAAACGACAUUACCAGCCAAGAUGGAAUCAGAACAACCAGAAGCAACUGCAAUACCAGCCAUCACAAAGUCAGAACCACCAGAAGCAACUACAUUACCAGCCAUCACAGAGUCAGAACCACCAGAAGGAACAACAAUACUGGCCAUCACGGAAUCAGAACCACCAGAAGGAACAACAAUGCCGGCCAUCACGGAAUCAGAACCACCAGAAGCAACUACAAUACCGGCCAUCACGGAGUCAGAACCACCAAAAGCCACUACAUUACCGGCCAUCACAGAGUCAGAACCACCAGAAGCAACUACAAUACCGGCCAUCAC